rnacentral:rRNA from 1 species
AUUGAACGCUGGUGGCAUGCUUUACACAUGCAAGUCGGACGGCAGCACAGAGAAGCUUGCUUCUUGGGUGGCGAGUGGCGAACGGGUGAGUAAUAUAUCGGAACGUACCGAGUAAUGGGGGAUAACUAAUCGAAAGAUUAGCUAAUACCGCAUAUUCUCUGAGGAGGAAAGCAGGGGACCUUCGGGCCUUGCGUUAUUCGAGCGGCCGAUAUCUGAUUAGCUAGUUGGUGGGGUAAAGGCCUACCAAGGCGACGAUCAGUAGCGGGUCUGAGAGGAUGAUCCGCCACACUGGGACUGAGACACGGCCCAGACUCCUACGGGAGGCAGCAGUGGGGAAUUUUGGACAAUGGGCGCAAGCCUGAUCCAGCCAUGCCGCGUGUCUGAAGAAGGCCUUCGGGUUGUAAAGGACUUUUGUCAGGGAAGAAAAGGAUAGGGUUAAUACCCCUGUCUGAUGACG